rnacentral:ncRNA from 1 species
CGCUAAGGAGUGUGUAACAACUCACCUGCCGAAGCAACUAGCCCUGAAAAUGGAUGGCGCUCAAGCGUUGAACCUAUACCUAACCGUUAAGGCAAUCAUAUAUAUUAUUUAUCAUGAUAUAAGCUUUAACGAGUAGGAAGAAUGUAGUGAUAGCGUCGAAGGUGUCUGACGUAAGUCAGCCUGGAGCUUUCACUAUUGCAGAUCUUGGUGGUAGUAGCAAAUACUCAAGUGAGACCCUUGAGGACCAAUGUGGAGAAGGGUUCCAUGUGAACAGUAGUUGAACAUGGGUCAGUCGGUCCUAAGCGAUGGGGAGAAAUCCCUAACCAAAGUCCCAGAUACAAUUAUCAAGUUGACUGUGGUGUUUCGCGAAAGGGAAUCGGGUUAAUAUUCCCGAACCUGGCGUGGGAGAUUGCUUCUUCGGAAGUAAAUGCGGUAACGCAAACUAACAUGGAGAUGUUUCCAAAAGUCCUGGGAAGAGUUGUCUUUUCUUUGUAAGGUACCAAGUCCCUGGAAUCGGUUUAACCGGAGAUAGGGAUUCCGGUACCGUAAAGCACCGCGGCUCUUGCGGUGUCCAGUGCACUUUUGGAAACCCUUGAAAAUCUAUGUUAGAGAUUAUAACUUUCCCGCCAGACCGUACCCAUAUCCGCAGCAGGUCUCCAAGGUGAACAGCCUCUGGUCACUAGAAUAAUGUAGAUAAGGGAAGUCGGCAAAGCGGAUCCGUAACUUCGGGAUAAGGAUUGGCUCUGAAAACUGAGCUGGUCGGGCUGAAGUCAGAAGCAAGUACUGCAAAAUACCGAGACUGGUUGAUGUUGGGUAACUAACUGAUGCCGGACUUGUGUUUUUGUGAUCUUGUGGAUUGCUUCAGCUAGGAUCCUUUGUGCAGCCUUUUUGAAGGGGUAACCUGGAUGAGAGUGUCUGUUGCAGGGGGCAAUCCUUUCGGCCAGCGAAAAACAGUUGAAUCAGAACUGGCACGGACCCCGGGAAUCCGACUGUCUAAUUAAAACAAAGCAUUGUGAUAGCCGGUGAACGGUAUUGACACAAUGUGAUUUCUGCCCAGUGCUCUGAAUGUCAAAGUGAAGAAAUUCAACCA